rnacentral:rRNA from 1 species
GACGAACGCUGGCGGCGUGCCUAAUACAUGCAAGUAGAACGCUGAAGAGAGGAGCUUGCUCUUCUUGGCUGAGUUGCGAACGGGUGAGUAACGCGUAGGUAACCUGCCUUGUAGCGGGGGAUAACUAUUGGAAACGAUAGCUAAUACCGCAUAACAAUGGAUGACACAUGUCAUUUAUUUGAAAGGGGCAAUUGCUCCACUACAAGAUGGACCUGCGUUGUAUUAGCUAGUAGGUGAGGUAAUGGCUCACCUAGGCGACGAUACAUAGCCGACCUGAGAGGGUGAUCGGCCACACUGAGACUGAGACACGGCCCAGACUCCUGCGGGAGGCAGCAGGAGGGAAUCUUCGGCAAUGGGGGCAACCCUGACCGAGCAACGCCGCGUGAGUGAAGAAGGUUUUCGGAUCGUAAAGCUCGGUUGUAAGUCAAGAACGGGUGUGAGAGUGGAAAGUUCACACUGUGACGGUAGCUUACCAGAAAGGGACGGCUAACUACGUG